GCUGGGAAACUUGUCUUUCCCUCUCUGUUAUGAGAUGUUUUGGAGGCAGGAGGCGUAGUUCCCGUUAGCUGGUUUGUAUGUGGUUGCUAUUUAUAGAAAUAACUAUACAAAGAACAAAGGAAGGAAGAGAGCGAAAGGAGGGAGGAGAGAAAAGUUACUUUGAAGACUUGACUACUCGUUUAGGCACGGCCCCUCCGGGAUUCCUGGUGGAAAACAGAAAUUCGUGGGACACUCUGGCUGGGAACCACCCUUGACGCUCAUUGUCUCCUCCCUCUGCAGCACCUCCACUGAGCCUGCGCUAACUGGGUGCCUCAUAGGCUGAUGACCAAAGUCCAUGACCACCAGGCCUUUCUCAAGCCAGGGUUACUGUAGUGUAUGCGAUGCCUCUUAGAUUGCUAUUGAUCAAGAUGGCGGCCUUCCUUCCUGACUUCUGGGUCCUGCUCGUCUGUAAAUCUCUACUUCAGAUGUCGUGAUUUGGCACAUACCACAGGGGGUUGGGUGAUGACACUCCAGAGAGUUUGCCAUAAAAUCUUGAUGGAAACAUGAACAGCCAAGUAGCAGGACUGUCUGUACUGCAACCUAGAUCCCCUGCGCUGAGCUCACGCACAUCUGCCAGCCUUCUGUGUCACCUCGUAUGGCUAGAACGCACUUGCCAAAUCAGUGACCACUAAAAUGGAUUUGCUGCUAUGUUCAUCUCCUCUGGUAAAGAUGCCAGACUAGGUGUGGUGACUGCUGGACAACUACCGCUUGAAUGGGUUUGGCUGCUCUGCUAUCAGUCAUUAUCCUCCAGGUUCAGUUUGGUUUCUUCAGGGACAACACUGCUGAUGGAAAUGUGAAAUGACCCAUAAAGGUUACAUUCUGAUGUUUGUUUUAUGGCAUAUCGUCAAGGAGAUCUUUCGUUUUAUAUGUGGGUCUUGAUUGACUAUUAACAAUCCCUAGUCUCCUGUAACAUUUUUAUAGAACAG